UUCGCAAUGCCCGAAAGGGUGACGAUGCGACGCCGCGUGAGCGAAGAAGGCCCUAGGGUUGUAAAGCUCUGUCGAGGGUUAUGAAAUAUAGAUGGGUUAAUACCCCAUUUAUUUGACAAAAGCCCAAAAGGAAGCCACGGCUAACUCUGUGCCAGCAGCCGCGGUAAUACAGAGGUGGCGAGCGCUGUUCGGUAUUAUUGGGCGUAAAGAGCACGUAGGUGGUUUUGUAAGUCAGGUGUGAAAGCCUUCUGUUCAAAGGAAGAACGGCAUCUGAAACUGCAGAUCUUGAGUGUAGGAGGGGAGAGUGGAACUUCUGGUGGAGCGGUGAAAUGCGUAGAUAUCAGAAGGAACGUCGGCGGCGAAAGCGACUCUCUGGCCUAUUACUGACACUGAGGUGCGAAAGUUAGGGGAGCAAACGGGAUUAGAUACCCCGGUAGUCCUAACCGUAAACGAUGGGCACUAAGUAGAGGGGUUUU
rnacentral:rRNA from 1 species